rnacentral:rRNA from 1 species
GGCCUAUCAGUUUGUUGGUGAGGUAAUGGCUCACCAAGACGAACGACGGGUAGCCGGCCUGAGAGGGCGACCGGCCACACUGGGAUUGAGACACGGCCCAGANNCCUACGGGAGGCAGCAGUGGGGAAUAUUGCACAAUGGGGGAAACCCUGAUGCAGCGACGCAGCGUGCGGGAUGACGGCCUUCGGGUUGUAAACCGCUUUCAGCAGGGAAGAAGCCCUUCGGGGUGACGGUACCUGCAGAAGAAGUACCGGCUAACUACGUGCCAGCAGCCGCGGUAAUACGUAGGGUACAAGCGUUGUCCGGAAUUAUUGGGCGUAAAGAGCUCGUAGGUGGUUGGUCACGUCUGCUGUGGAAACGCAACGCUUAACGUUGCGCGCGCAGUGGGUACGGGCUGACUAGAGUGCAGUAGGGGAGUCUGGAAUUCCUGGUGUAGCGGUGAAAUGCGCAGAUAUCAGGAGGAACACCGGUGGCGAAGGCGGGACUCUGGGCUGUAACUGACACUGAGGAGCGAAAGCAUGGGGAGCGAACAGGAUUAGAUACCCUGGUAGUCCAUGCCGUAAACGUUGGGCACUAGGUGUGGGGGACAUUCCACGUUCUCCGCGCCGUAGCUAACGCAUUAAGUGCCCCGCCUGGGGAGUACGGUCGCAAGGCUAAAACUCAAAGGAAUUGACGGGGGCCCGCACAAGCGGCGGAGCAUGCGGAUUAAUUCGAUGCAACGCGAAGAACCUUACCAAGGCUUGACAUACACCAGACCGUUCUGUAAACAGUUCCUCCCCUUUGGGGUUGGUGUACAGGUGGUGCAUGGUUGUCGUCAGCUCGUGUCGUGAGAUGUUGGGUUAAGUCCCGCAACGAGCGCAACCCUCGUUCUAUGUUGCCAGCACGUAAUGGUGGGAACUCAUAGGAGACUGCCGGGGUCAACUCGGAGGAAGGUGGGGGUGACGUCAAAUCAUCAUGCCCUUUAUGUCUUGGGCUUCACGCAUGCUACAAUGGCUGGUACAGAGAGAUGCGAGACCGCGAGGUUUUAGCGAAUCCCUUAAAGCCAGUCUCGGUUCGGAUCGUAGUCUGCAAUUCGACUACGUGAAGUCGGAGUCGCUAGAAUCGCAGAUCA